rnacentral:lncRNA from 1 species
UUGUUUCAGAGCCCAUGGAUUCGAGAUUCUCCAAUAAACUGGUUCUACAAGUAAAUAAAUGAUCAAGAUAAUUUGAGGCAGUGCAGAUGACAAAACGGAGCUGAGAUGGGUGUUGAUUUGUGGGGUAACUGGUUUGGGGGGAUAGGAAGGACUAUGAGAAGAAGGGACAUUUGCACUGAGAUUCAGCAAGAAGGUCAGCAAGUGCAAAGGCCCUGAGGCACGAACAAGCUUGGAACAUGGAGGAACUUAAGGCCGGUGAAGACAUACCCUGGUGUGUGCCGGGGAAGGAGAGGAAGUGCCCAACGCUGGACCUCCGUAAAGUCCGAUGAGUGUGGGAGGUGUGGAUGGACACCAGAGAUGCAUACCCUGCCCUAGAAUCACCUGCCAUCCAUAGAGGAGAAAAAGGAGCCGACUCUUGAUUUCUAAACUCCAGUGGAACCCAAAAAGCGUUGAUCUUUCAAAUCCUGAGGGAGGUUAGAGGAACCGCCCCUCUGUCUCCUUUAGGAUCUCCGAAGAAGGUUCUGUUUGUUGUCCUCCACGAUUCUUGCCUUCUGUAAGAGCGGUUUGGCCUGGGACCUGGCCUCUUGUCCUCUUCCAUGGCUCUGGGCUGGCCAUUCCGCAGCAUCUUUUAGAGCUGCCUCUUGACAUCACCUGAUUCAGCCAGAGAGGGCGGGGAAGCCGAGGUGACUGGGAGGGUGGACACACUGUGGGGCCGGUCGUGUUUGGGGUGGG